GGAACGGUGGCAGAGCGGCCGAAUGCACCUGUCUUGAAAACAGGAGACCUGCAAGGGUCCGCAGGUUCAAAUCCUGCUCGUUCCGCCA
rnacentral:tRNA from 3 species